CAGGACGGACGCUGGCGGCGUGCCUAAUACAUGCAAGUCGAACGGUCUUUCUAUGGAAGCUUGCUUCCACUGAGAAGAUAGUGGCGAACGGGUGAGUAACACGUGGGUAACCUGCCCAUAAGAGGGGGAUAACAUCCGGAAACGGGUGCUAAUACCGCAUAGUUUUCUUGGUCGCAUGAUCGGGAAAGGAAAGACGGCCUUUGUGCUGUCGCUUAUGGAUGGACCCGCGGCGUAUUAGUUAGUUGGUGAGGUAACGGCUCACCAAGACGAUGAUACGUAGCCGACCUGAGAGGGUGAUCGGCCACAUUGGGACUGAGACACGGCCCAAACUCCUACGGGAGGCAGCAGUAGGGAAUCUUCCGCAAUGGACGAAAGUCUGACGGAGCAACGCCGCGUGAGUGAAAGAAGGUUUUCGGAUCGUAAAACUCUGUUGUCAGAGAAGAACAAGUUGGAGAGUAACUGCUCCAGCCUUGACGGUAUCUGACCAGAAAGCCACGGCUAACUACGUGCCAGCCGCCGC
rnacentral:rRNA from 1 species